CUCUACUGUAUUUAUAUUCCGCCCUUCUCACCCCGAAGGGGACUCAGGGUGGAUCACAUUACACAUACAGUAGAGUCUCACUUAUCCAACUCUCAGUUUUCGAAUCCAAACCUGAUUUUGUGGUUGUUGCUGUGGUUCUUUUAAUGUUGUUUUAGUUAUUUUUGUAAACCAAGUAUGUGGUGUAUAUUGAAGGGAGGGAAUGAGGGGGAAAAGUAAUCUUAUUGUAAAGUAAUUGUUAAGAGUAUCUAAUUUCAUUAAAUUGUUUGCAUUAUAUUUUAAUUCAUAAAAUCAAAAUACAGUAGAGUCUCACUUAUCCAAGCCUCGCUUAUCCAACGUUCUGGAUUAUCCAACGCAUUUUUGUAGUCAAUGUUUUCAAUACAUCGUGAUAUUUUGGUGCUAAAUGCGUAAAUACAGUAAUUACUACGUAGCAUUACUGCAUAUCGAACCACUUUUUCUGUCAAAUUUGUUGUAUAACAUGAUGUUUUGGUGCUUACUUUGUAAAAUCAUAACCUAAUUUGAUGUUUAAUAGGCUUCUCCUUAAUCUCUCCUUAUUAACCAACAUAUUUGCUUAUCCAACGUUCUGCCGGCCUGUUUAUGUUGGAUAAGUGAGACUCUACUGUAUAAGGCAGACAUUCAAUGCCAUAACAUAGAACAGAGACAGAGACAGACGCAGGCUGGCCUCAAACUCAUGACCUCUUGGUCAGAGUGAUUUGUUGCAGCUGGCUGCUAACCAGACUGCGCCACAGCCCGGCAAUGCACAGACAAUGCUGUGUCUUCAGUUUAGAAAUGGAGAUGAGCACCAACCCCCAGAGUUGGGCACGGCUAGACUUAAUGUCAGAGGAAACCUUUACCUAAUGGCCAUACAGCUCAGAAAACUCACAGCAACCCAGUGAUUCCGGCCAUGAAAGCCUUCAACAUUGUAUUGGAGUUUCCUUCUCUGGAGGCUUUUAAGCAGCGGCUGGAUGGGCAUCUCAUGGGUGUGCUUUGACUGUGUCUCCCUGUCUGGCAGAAGGGGGCUGGACUGGAUGGCCCUUGGGGUCUCUUCCAGUUCUAGAGUCAAUGAGUCGUGGAGAAGUUUAGAAAUCUUACACUCAAAGAGUAGAUAUGUCCUUUUGUGCAACUGAAAUAAUACUUCUGAAGAUCUACUAUAUAUUUUAUGCAUUGGCAUAUUUUUGUUCCUAACAGUUCAAAGAGAAAACCAGGCAUAUCAGGCUUAACAACUGAGAAACCUAAAUUGCCUUGCAUGAAUACGAGCGGAUAUUUACCACUAAGGAGAAGAUCAACUCAGGAGAGUUUUAACUCUUCUCAGGAAGAUCAUACUUUACAAAAAGGUUAUGAUUAUACCAAAUAGUGUGAAUGCCAAUUCAUCUCCAAAAAGGGUCAUGCUUCUAAAUGGCUAUGGAGAUUCUGCCUUUCUGAAAGUUAUGAUCUCUAAAAUGCAUGCCUUUCCACAUUGACUUAUUCACCAGGCAAUAUGUAUAUUAAGUCUUGUAUUUUAAAAAAUAUAUGUUAAGUAGCAAAAGGCAAGAGCUUAGCACAUCUUAUCUCUUCUUUACUCUGUCCACUAUGGUGCCACUUCUGUUGUUUUUGAAUAGGGAAAUGGCAGCAGCGGAUGGGCCCCCAGAAGCAUCAUUGCUUUCUUUUUUUUCCACAGAAUGACCGUAGACAUAUCCAUGGGUCAUAAUUUAUAAUUUUGGCCACCAAACCUGCCCUUGACUUAUACAUGAGGUCAACUUAUACAUGAGCCUAUACCAUAGUCACGUUGCACAUUUACUUUUGGCAUUUUUAGACCUUCUGCUUUGAUAACAAAGAGAAAGCGUACCCCAGAGUAGCAGAGAGCUCUUGUGUGUUCUAUAAUUAUGUAGAGAUAUUUAAUAUAUACAGAUUUCUAUUAAUGUACAGUAGAGUCUCACUAUCCAACAUUAACGGGCUGGCAGAAUGUUGGAUAAGCGAAUAUGUUGGAUAAUAAGGAGGCAUUAAGGAAAAGCCUAUUAAACAUCAAAUUAGGUUAUGAUUUUACAAAUGAAGCACCAAAACAUCAUGUUAGACAACAAAUUUGGCAGAAAUAGUAGUUCAAUGCGCAGUAAUGCUAUGUAGUAAUUACUGUAUUUAUGAAUUUAGCACCAAAAUAUCAUGAUAUAUUGAAAACAUUGACUACAAAAAUGCGUUGGAUAAUCCAGAACGUUGGAUAAGCGAGUGUUGGAUAAGUGAGACCCUACUGUAGUUGUUUUUAAUUUGUAGCUCUUACGUUUGUGUAGACAAUUCACUAGUUCCUUGGAUCGAAGCAUUCGUUUCAGGGAAGUACUUGGUUUGCUUUUGUUCAUACAUUGAUUGUAUUUCAUGCAGCAUCUUUCAUAACACUAGUAAUGUUGUAAUAGUGAGUAACAUGUUAUCAGGAACCAAACACACAACUACAAUGGGCUGCAUUGUCUUUUCUUCCUAACAAGCACCUUCUUCUUUAAUACUCAGAAUGUCAAUGUACAUAAAAUGAGAGAGGAAUGGAGGCAGGAAUGACUUCAAAGGCGGUCCCACUUGCACUAAGAUUCAUGUUUUGGAAGGUGACAAUCUUGAGCGUGGACUGGAUUCUGGAGGGGGUGUUCCCGUUUUCACAUGAAAUGACAAAAUGUAGAUGAGCUGUAAACGGCAGGUGUAAGGAAGUUCAGUGUUGUGAAAUCUUACUCUCAGUAGCUGUGUCAUCAACAGACUUGGAAUUGACAGAGGGGGAAAAGUCGUCCAAGCUGCGUCUGUAAUUCAAGAUGACAAGUGAGGGGUGUUUUUGCUCAAUCGCCUAACAGAGAGGCACUGUCCCAGAGUCAGUCCAGUCGUUCUUGGAGUAUCAAGCUCAGAAGAUUGUGCUGUGGGAUUCCUGUUAGAUGCCCCAGUUCUUGGCCAUCAGAGCUCAGGUCUCUUCCCAUGUUAUUUAGCAAUAAAUGUUGAAAGAGGAUGGCUGGAAUGGGAUUUGGUGCCAUCGGUAUGCUGAUAACAUUCAAAAGUUUAUCUCCUUGACACCCAAUUCCAAGGAAGCCAUUUCAUAAUUAGACCACACUCUGCAGUCAGCAAUAAAGUGGAUGAAGUUUCAUCCAGAUUACGGUAAAUAAAUUAAAUAAAAAGGCAGAUAAGGAAAUAGUGAUUCAGCAUGCAUUGCAUGGAAUAACAUUUCUUCAUUUUGCAUUUGUAAUAUAUACUUCUGGUUUCAUUCCUGAGGCUAGAUGUACAGGAUUGCACAGUUAAAAACUAGUGUGUAAGUUGAUGUUUUUUAAACUAUAUUUUUCUGUUUUAAAUGUUGUAAGAUGUUUUGACUUUCAGCUUUGUAAGAAAAGCUGGUAGAUAUAAAUAACGAUGUUGAUUCUGCUAGUAGCUUUCAAAGCAGUAUUCAGACACCCAGAAUGUCUACCUAUGCAAUCAUACUUCAUAGUUUUCACUCCUGCCAAGCAAAGACAUAGGAGCUAAUCAGGGAUUUAUUUUAUUGAUUUGGAAUUGAACGGCUGAAUGAGAAAGUGACAGAAUCGUACGUGACAAGCUGGUCUUUGGUGGGACGUGGUCAGAGAAUUGCAGCAAUAAAUAUAUAUUUAGAAAACCUGA